UUGGUGUGUCAUCAAGGAUAACGUAAGGGAAAAUAAUGAUAUUACCUUACUAUUAGUGUCGUCCAAGUACUCGUGCCAGAAGACUCGGUAAGGCGAGAGACGCAAACGUUAGUCGUCUUGAUCAGGCGUAAAGGGUUUGUAGGCGGCUUUAAGAAUUUAAAUUUUAGUUUACUAUUUUAAUAUGCUAAAAUUAUAAUUGAAAUGAUAAAAAAAGAAAAAAAAUUUUUUUUUUAAUUUUUGUUUAACUAAAUUAAUAAUUUGAUAUUAAAAAUUAAAAAAAAGAAUCAAUUAAAGCUAGAAUCUAAAAGAGGUUAAAACAAUACUUUUGACAGGAGUGCUAACCAUAAAGAAAGAGCAGAGUGUUAAGGGCGAAGGCUUUUAUCCAAUAAAGAUUGACGCUGAGAAACGAAGGUGAGGGCAGAAAAAAGGAUUAGAGACCCUUGUAUUCCUCACUGUCAACGAUGAAUGGUAGUUACUAGGAAGUUAUGACCUAGAGACGAUGUUAACACGUAAACCAUUCCGCCUUGUGAGUACGACUGCAAAGUUAAAAACAAAAAAAUUAGUCGGUUUCGGAGCAAACGAAGUGAAGCA
rnacentral:rRNA from 1 species